rnacentral:piRNA from 1 species
UUUACCGGUGCAUACAUUAAG